AUGUAUCCGCGCCAUCACAUUCUUGGCGUAUUUACGUGACGACGGUCGAGUAGGAAGGUAGCGGUGGGAAUCGCUCGUGUACGUCCGCGUUACCGCGUUAUUGUCUCCUAAAUCGUGAUCACAAUAGCAACUAAAUAUACUAAACAAGAUUAUUCUCUACGAAUAAUUAGUUUUUGUAAUUAGUUAGCUUCUGCAAUUGAUUAAAUCGACGUUAUUGACGACAUAUCAGUGUUUAUGCUAAAAAGUCGUCGUUAUUUUUUGCGCGUAAUUCGUCCGUUUUAAUACGAUGAAAUACGCGUCGGGAGUGUCGUUAAUGUCGGGAGUGCCAUAAAAUGUCGGUCGUCGAAUUCUAAUGAUUCAUACGCGCGCGAUCGUAAUUAAUCAUGUCCGCGAGUGAGGUUUGUGCCACGGAUGGACCACUCAGAGGAGGAGCAGGCCCAGGGGGCUUCGGGCGCCGGCGGAGCAACUGUAGAAUCAACAUUUGUGCAACUCCGCUGCUGCGCUGCGUAUCG